rnacentral:rRNA from 1 species
UUAGUGGCAUGACGGGUGAGUAAUGCAUAGGAAUCUACCUAGUAGUAUGGGAUAGCCACUAGAAAUGGUGGGUAAUACUGUAUAAUCCCUGCGGGGGAAAGAUUUAUCGCUAUUAGAUGAGCCUAUGUCAGAUUAGCUAGUUGGUGGGGUAAUGGCCUACCAAGGCGGUGAUCUGUAGCUGGUCUGAGAGGAUGAUCAGCCACACUGGAACUGAGACACGGUCCAGACUCCUACGGGAGGCAGCAGUGGGGAAUAUUGGACAAUGGGCGCAAGCCUGAUCCAGCUAUGCCGCGUGAGUGAGGAAGGCCUUAGGGUUGUAAAACUCUUUCAGUAGGGAAGAUAAUGACGGUACCUACAGAAGAAGUCCCGGCAAACUCCGUGCCAGCAGCCGCGGUAAUACGGAGGGGGCAAGCGUGUUCCGGA